AGCGGCGAACGGGUGAGUAACACGUAAGGAUCUACCUAUAAGCGGGGGAUAACAUUCGGAAACGGGUGCUAAUACCGCAUAAUUCCGCAUGGAGAAAGACGGCUCUGCUGUCACUUAUAGAUGACCUUGCGGUGCAUUAGUUAGUUGGUGGGGUAACGGCCUACCAAGACGAUGAUGCAUAGCCGACCUGAGAGGGUGAUCGGCCACAUUGGGACUGAGACACGGCCCAAACUCCUACGGGAGGCAGCGGUAGGGAAUCUUCCGCAAUGGGCGAAAGCCUGACGGAGCAAUGCCGCGUGAGUGAAGAAGGCCUUCGGGUCGUAAAACUCUGUUAUAAGAGAAGAACAAAUUGUAGAGUAACUGCUACAGUCUUGACGGUAUCUUAUCAGAAAGCCACGGCUAACUACGUGCCAGCAGCCGCGGUAAUACGUAGGUGGCAAGCGUUGUCCGGAUUUAUUGGGCGUAAAGGGAGCGCAGGUGGUUUCUUAAGUCUGAUGUGAAAGCCCACGGCUUAACCGUGGAGGGUCAUUGGAAACUGGGAAACUUGAGUACAGAAGAGGAAUGUGGAACUCCAUGUGUAGCGGUGGAAUGCGUAGAUAUAUGGAAGAACACCAGUGGCGAGCGACAUUCUGGUCUGUUACUGACACUGAAGCUUCGAAGCGUGUGAAGCAAACAAGA
rnacentral:rRNA from 1 species